rnacentral:lncRNA from 1 species
AUGUUGGGUGGCACUUCGGCUGCCGGAGAAGGAGAAUAUAAAGCCCGCCGUUCUCGGAACUUUUCAGGCGACGCAAGUCUGCGCCAGCACUUCCACUCCCGCGGGAUCUUGGGAAGUGUAGUUCCGGAGCUCGGAGCCACCGCGCACUUCCGUCGCGGGGUAGCGAUCGCGGCCCGUGUCGUACCUCUCAGGGCGGUCUUUGCAGUACCACUCGCUCUUCUUAGCGUAAAGAAGGCAGCCCCUGGACUACUUCUGACCUGUUUUUUUGAAGAAAGCGUGCAUCGCUCACAGAUGGAAUUUGAAGCAAAAGAGAAACAAGAUUUACAACACUGGCUGUGGUGUGAGAGCUGGAUUCAAGGACCACUCCUGCCUCUUGACCCCACCUGUCAAUGGGUAUAAAAAUUGUCAUCAUGAUUUCUUGAAAACUUGCUGAAAUGUCAGGUACUUUGCCAAGGGUACUGCAUGAAUUUAUUCAUUUAUUCCCCAUAAUAAUCCUAUGACUAAUAAUCUGUUUUUCUUCUUUUUAUAGCUGAGGAUGGGCACCAAUGUGUAGGUGGUUGGACAAAGGUCACCUAACUAUCGUAACAGUAGCUUCUUCACAGGUAUGUGUGAGGGACCUAAAUGAGACAUGAGCCAAGUGCUUCACAAGGCCUCUAAUAUCUACUUAGUGUUUAUUUAAUGUUAACCAUUAUUGUUUUUAUGAUUAUGAUGAUAAUUAGCUUGUUAAUUUCAUUGACAUUGAUUAUCAAAUUUGGGGUUAAAUAAAACUUAGAGAGACACAGGUUUUUGUUAAAGUUCCUUAUCUCCAUGAUAAAGUCUUUUUAAGACCCUACUUUGUUAACAAGGUAGAUUUUGCAACCCAGUCAUCCAUAGAGUUAGACUCACAGACACAGAGGAGGUAGUCACCAGUGGCUUGGGAGUGGGAGUUAUUGCUCAGUGGGUUCAGAAUUUCAGUUUGGGGUGGUACAGAAGUUCUGGAGAUGAACAGUGUAGGUGGUUGCACAACAUUGUCAAUGCACUUACUAAAUUGUACACUUAGAAGUGGUUAAAGUGGCAAAUUUUACAUUUUAUAUUUUACAUCCCCCAAACCCCAGUCAUUUAGGAAAUCUUAAAUAUUAUUUCAGAGGCAUCAAGUUAAGCAUGACAGACUAAGAGAAUAACAGAUACUCCAGAAGUUCGAGGUGGUUUUCAUUUGAAAGCAACAACCUUUUGGCUUUUUUUUCCUCAUUCUCAUGUUAUGCCUUCCUAAGACUUAGUGAUCCCCAGAAGGAGGAGGACACAAUGACCAAAUUCAAGGUGAGUUGGGCUUACUUUUCCACAUUUUAAAUUGUCGUUUUCAUUUCUGAGAGAUUACAUCCAUCUAGCUUCUUUUUCUGAGGAAGAAUUAAGGAUAAUAGUAGGCAUUUGAGAAGCUCUUGGGUGCCAGAUGCUUGCUACCUUUCAGUAUAGUUUAAUUUUCAUUGCUUUAUCAUUUUA